CCCUUAGAUGUUCUGGGCCGCACGCGCGCUACACUGAUGCAUUCAACGAGUUUCUUCCUGGUCCGAGAGGAAUGGGUAACCUUUUGAAAGUGCAUCGUGAUAGGGAUAGACUAUUGCACUUAUUGGUCUUCAACGAGGAAUUCCUAGUAGACGUAGUUCAUCAGACUGCAUCGAUUACGUCCCUGCCCUUUGUACACACCGCCCGUCGCUCCUACCGAUUGAAUGCUCAGGUGAGCCAUUCGGACUUUCAUCAUGCUGGUUUCCAGUUUUGAUGAAGGAAAGUCUUGCGAACCUUAUCAUUUAGAGGAAGGAGAAGUCGUAACA
rnacentral:rRNA from 1 species